UUUAUGGAGAGUUUGAUCCUGGCUCAGGAUGAACGCUGGCGGCGUGCCUAAUACAUGCAAGUCGAGCGAACGGACGAGAAGCUUGCUUCUCUGAUGUUAGCGGCGGACGGGUGAGUAACACGUGGAUAACCUACCUAUAAGACUGGGAUAACUUCGGGAAACCGGAGCUAAUACCGGAUAAUAUUUUGAACCGCAUGGUUCAAAAGUGAAAGACGGUCUUGCUGUCACUUAUAGAUGGAUCCGCGCUGCAUUAGCUAGUUGGUAAGGUAACGGCUUACCAAGGCAACGAUGCAUAGCCGACCUGAGAGGGUGAUCGGCCACACUGGAACUGAGACACGGUCCAGACUCCUACGGGAGGCAGCAGUAGGGAAUCUUCCGCAAUGGGCGAAAGCCUGACGGAGCAACGCCGCGUGAGUGAUGAAGGUCUUCGGAUCGUAAAACUCUGUUAUUAGGGAAGAACAUAUGUGUAAGUAACUGUGCACAUCUUGACGGUACCUAAUCAGAAAGCCACGGCUAACUACGUGCCAGCAGCCGCGGUAAUACGUAGGUGGCAAGCGUUAUCCGGAAUUAUUGGGCGUAAAGCGCGCGUAGGCGGUUUUUUAAGUCUGAUGUGAAAGCCCACGGCUCAACCGUGGAGGGUCAUUGGAAACUGGAAAACUUGAGUGCAGAAGAGGAAAGUGGAAUUCCAUGUGUAGCGGUGAAAUGCGCAGAGAUAUGGAGGAACACCAGUGGCGAAGGCGACUUUCUGGUCUGUAACUGACGCUGAUGUGCGAAAGCGUGGGGAUCAAACAGGAUUAGAUACCCUGGUAGUCCACGCCGUAAACGAUGAGUGCUAAGUGUUAGGGGGUUUCCGCCCCUUAGUGCUGCAGCUAACGCAUUAAGCACUCCGCCUGGGGAGUACGACCGCAAGGUUGAAACUCAAAGGAAUUGACGGGGACCCGCACAAGCGGUGGAGCAUGUGGUUUAAUUCGAAGCAACGCGAAGAACCUUACCAAAUCUUGACAUCCUUUGACAACUCUAGAGAUAGAGCCUUCCCCUUCGGGGGACAAAGUGACAGGUGGUGCAUGGUUGUCGUCAGCUCGUGUCGUGAGAUGUUGGGUUAAGUCCCGCAACGAGCGCAACCCUUAAGCUUAGUUGCCAUCAUUAAGUUGGGCACUCUAAGUUGACUGCCGGUGACAAACCGGAGGAAGGUGGGGAUGACGUCAAAUCAUCAUGCCCCUUAUGAUUUGGGCUACACACGUGCUACAAUGGACAAUACAAAGGGUAGCGAAACCGCGAGGUCAAGCAAA
rnacentral:rRNA from 1 species